rnacentral:rRNA from 1 species
GUAUCCAACCUGCCCAUCACUUGGGGAUAACCUUUGCGAAAGUAAGACUAAUACCCAAUGAUAUCUCUAGAAGACAUCUGAAAGGGAUUAAAGAUUUAUCGGUGAUGGAUGGGGAUGCGUCUGAUUAGCUUGUUGGCGGGGUAACGGCCCACCAAGGCGACGAUCAGUAGGGGUUCUGAGAGGAAGGUCCCCCACAUUGGAACUGAGACACGGUCCAAACUCCUACGGGAGGCAGCAGUGAGGAAUAUUGGUCAAUGGGCGAGAGCCUGAACCAGCCAAGUAGCGUGCAGGAUGACGGCCCUAUGGGUUGUAAACUGCUUUUAUAAGGGAAUAAAGUGAGUCUCGUGAGACUUUUUGCAUGUACCUUAUGAAUAAGGACCGGCUAAUUCCGUGCCAGCAGCCGCGGUAAUACGGAAGGUCCGGGCGUUAUCCGGAUUUAUUGGGUUUAAAGGGAGCGUAGGCCGGAGAUUAAGCGUGUUGUGAAAUGUAGAUGCUCAACAUCUGCACUGCAGCGCGAACUGGUUUCCUUGAGUACGCACAAAGUGGGCGGAAUUCGUGGUGUAGCGGUGAAAUGCUUAGAUAUCACGAAGAACUCCGAUUGCGAAGGCAGCUCACUGGAGCGCAACUGACGCUGAAGCUCGAAAGUGCGGGUAUCGAACAGGAUUAGAUACCCUGGUAGUCCGCACGGUAAACGAUGGAUGCCCGCUGUUGGUCUGAAUAGGUCAGCGGCCAAGCGAAAGCAUUAAGCAUCCCACCUGGGGAGUA